AUUGAACGCUGGCGGCAGGCCUAACACAUGCAAGUCGAGCGGUAGAGAGAAGCUUGCUUCUCUUGAGAGCGGCGGACGGGUGAGUAAUGCCUAGGAAUCUGCCUGGUAGUGGGGGAUAACGUUCGGAAACGGACGCUAAUACCGCAUACGUCCUACGGGAGAAAGCAGGGGACCUUCGGGCCUUGCGCUAUCAGAUGAGCCUAGGUCGGAUUAGCUAGUUGGUGGGGUAAUGGCUCACCAAGGCGACGAUCCGUAACUGGUCUGAGAGGAUGAUCAGUCACACUGGAACUGAGACACGGUCCAGACUCCUACGGGAGGCAGCAGUGGGGAAUAUUGGACAAUGGGCGAAAGCCUGAUCCAGCCAUGCCGCGUGUGUGAAGAAGGUCUUCGGAUUGUAAAGCACUUUAAGUUGGGAGGAAGGGCAGUAAAUUAAUACAUUGCUGUUUUGACGUUACCGACAGAAUAAGCACCGGCUAACUCUGUGCCAGCAGCCGCGGUAAUACAGAGGGUGCAAGCGUUAAUCGGAAUUACUGGGCGUAAAGCGCGCGUAGGUGGUUAGUUAAGUUGGAUGUGAAAUCCCCGGGCUCAACCUGGGAACUGCAUUCAAAACUGACUGACUAGAGUAUGGUAGAGGGUGGUGGAAUUUCCUGUGUAGCGGUGAAAUGCGUAGAUAUAGGAAGGAACACCAGUGGCGAAGGCGACCACCUGGACUGAUACUGACACUGAGGUGCGAAAGCGUGGGGAGCAAACA
rnacentral:rRNA from 1 species